AUUGAACGCUGGCGGCAGGCCUAACACAUGCAAGUCGAGCGGUAGAGAGGUGCUUGCAUCUCUUGAGAGCGGCGGACGGGUGAGUAAUGCCUAGGAAUCUGCCUAGUGGUGGGGGGAUAACGUUCGGAAACGGACGCUAAUACCGCAUACGUCCUACGGGAGAAAGCGGGGGAUCUUCGGACCUCGCGCCAUUAGAUGAGCCUAGGUCGGAUUAGCUAGUUGGUGAGGUAAUGGCUCACCAAGGCGACGAUCCGUAACUGGUCUGAGAGGAUGAUCAGUCACACUGGAACUGAGACACGGUCCAGACUCCUACGGGAGGCAGCAGUGGGGAAUAUUGGACAAUGGGCGAAAGCCUGAUCCAGCAUGCCGCGUGUGUGAAGAAGGUCUUCGGAUUGUAAAGCACUUAAGUUGGGAGGAAGGGUAGUAACCUAAUACGUUG
rnacentral:rRNA from 1 species